rnacentral:rRNA from 1 species
CUAGAUCGUACAGUUUACAUGGAUAACCGUGGUAAUUCUAGAGCUAAUACAUGCACAUCAGUCGGCUCUCUCGGGAGCCGAUGCAGUUAUUAGACUAAGACCAAUCCGGCCUUCGGGUCGGUAAACUUGGUGAUUCUGAAUAACCGAAGCGGAGCGUGUGGCCUCGUGCCGACGCCAGAUCUUUCAAGUGUCUGACUUAUCAGCUUGUAGCUAAGUUAUGUUCUUAACUAGGCCGUUACGGGUAACGGGGUGUCAGGGCCCGACACCG